GCUCACUUCAGCAGCACAUAUACUAAAAUUGGAACAAUACAAGAUUAGCGUGGCCCCUGAGCAAGGAUGGCAAAACAAGGAACUAGAGAGACAACUCUGAGGU